rnacentral:rRNA from 1 species
GAUGAACGCUAGCGAUAGGCUUAACACAUGCAAGUCGAGGGGCAGCAUGGUCUUAGCUUGCUAAGGCUGAUGGCGACCGGCGCACGGGUGCGUAACGCGUCUGCAACUUGCCUCACAGAGGGGGAUAACCCGUCGAAAGACGGACUAAUACCGCGUACACUCUAUGUUGGGCAUCCAAUGUAGAGGAAAUGAAAUUGGCUGUGAGAUAGGCAUGCGUCCGAUUAGCUAGUUGGUGAGGUAACGGCUCACCAAGGCGACGAUGGGUAGGGGAACUGAGAGGUUGCCCCCCGAGACUGGUACUGAGACACGGACCAGACUGCUACGGGAGGGAGCAGUAAGGAAGAUUGGUCAAGGGGCGAGAGCCUGAACCAGCCAAGUCGCGUGAAGGAUGACUGUCUUAUGGAUUGUAAACUUCUUUUAUACGAGAGUAACAAGAGUCACGUGUGGCUCCCUGCAUGUACCGGAUGAAUAAGCAUCGGCUAACUACGUG